UAGAGUUUGAUCAUGGCUCAGGACGAACGCUGGCGGUGUGCUUAACACAUGCAAGUCAACGAGAAUUUAUCUUCGGAUAAUAGUAAAGUGGCGAACGGGUGAGUAACGCGUAAAUAACUUGCCUCGGAGAUUGGGACAACAUUGGGAAACCAGUGCUAAUACCAAAUAAUGCAGCGGGCCCUUUGGGGUAUUGUUGUUAAAGUAGGCUUCGGCUUACACUUCGAGAUAGAUUUGCGUCCGAUUAGUUAGUUGGUAGGGUAAUAGCCUACCAAGACCGAGAUCGGUAGCUGGUCUGAGAGGAUGAUCAGCCACACUGGAAUUGAGAUACGGUCCAGACUCCUACGGGAGGCAGCAGUGAGGAAUUUUGCACAAUGGGCGAAAGCCUGAUGCAGCAACACCGCGUGAUUGAUGAAGUUUUUAGGAAUGUAAAAAUCUGU
rnacentral:rRNA from 1 species